CACUAGGAGAUCUACUGAGAUGCCACCUGUGGGCAGGAAACACAGUAAUGCUUAAUGUGAUAUUCCACGGCUAUUGAAGAGUUACUUCCUUGUCAAACCGAUGAGUGGCUGCAGAGAUCAAGGAACUCAGAGAUUCCAAGGACCUGGAGAAGCAAGGGCUCCUUUGAGCUGAAUAUGAUCCUAUCUGAACAGCGUAGGUUGCUAAUGUUGAAACUUUAAGGUCCUCUACAUCUGGUCCUCCGUCUGCUGUGGAGUCUCUGGCUUUGCAAUUGAGAAGGAACUGCUCAGGAAUCUCCAGUCCAGAGCGCAUGGCAUGCAUAGAUCAUAUGGUGGGAGCACCCACAGACUCUACCUUAUUCUUGGCUGGACAAAGAUCGCACAACCUCAGAAGAUAAAGAACCACUAG